rnacentral:rRNA from 1 species
GAUGAACGCUAGCUACAGGCUUAACACAUGCAAGUCGAGGGACCGGCGCACGGGUGAGUAACACGUAUCCAAUCUGCCCUUUACUCGGGGAUAGCCUUUCGAAAGUAAGAUUAAUACCCGAUAUACAGGAUGGGGAUGCGUUCGAUUAGGUUGUUGGUGAGGUAACGGCUAACCAAGGCUUCGAUGGAUAGGGGUUCUGAGAGGAAGGUCCCCCGGAAUGGAGAUAAGGCACGGACCAAAAUCGUACGGGGGGGAGCAGUGAGGAGUAUAGGGGAAUGAGGGCUGGCCUGAACCUGCCGAGUGGCGGGAAGGGUGAAGCCGUAGGGGUCGUAAUCAUCUUGUAAAUAAGAAUAUGUAUUAUAUGAAUAAGGAUCGGCUAACUCCGUGCCAGCAGCCGAGGUAAUAC